AGUGGAUUUGCCAGCGCACCAGAAUAGCCAGCAGAGUGAAUAGCCUCUAAAAGCAAAUUUUGCGGAUUGUCAGCAAUUUCUUUCAACUCUGCCUUCAAUUUCUUCAACUGUUCGUUAACCUCCCACUCGAGGAAAACAGGAUUCCUGACACUAUCAAUAAGCACCUCAACCAUUUCUGGCAUGUGUGUCUUCAGAGCAUCAUAAGUAUAGCCCAUCUGUUCACGAGAAGCCGACGCCGA
rnacentral:misc_RNA from 1 species